CCUACGGGAGAUAGCAGUAGGGAAUUUUCGUCAAUGGGCGCAAGCCUGAACGAGCAAUGCCGCGUGAACGAGGAAGGUCUUCGGAUCGUAAAGUUCUGUUGAAGGGGAAAAAGAGCGGAGAGAGGAAAUGGUCUCCGAUUGAUAUUACCCUUCGAGGAAGUCACGGCUAACUACGUGCCAGCAGCCGCGUUAAUACGUAGGUGGCGAGCGUUAUCCGGAAUGAUUGGGCGUAAAGGGUGCGUAGGCGGCCUGCUAAGUCUGGAGUGAAAGGUACCGGCUCAACCGGUACAGGCUCUGGAAACUGGCGGGCUAGAGAGCAGGAGAGGGCGGUGGAACUCCAUGUGUAGCGGUAAAAUGCGUAGAUAUAUGGAAGAACACCAGUGGCGAAGGCGGCCGCCUGGCCUGUUGACUGACGCUGAGGCACGAAAGCGUGGGGAGCAAAUAGGAUUAGAUACCCGUGUAGUC
rnacentral:rRNA from 1 species